GUGAACGCUGGCGGUAGGCCUAACACAUGCAAGUCGAACGGCAGCACAGUAAGAGCUUGCUCUUACGGGUGGCGAGUGGCGGACGGGUGAGGAAUACAUCGGAAUCUACUUUUUCGUGGGGGAUAACGUAGGGAAACUUACGCUAAUACCGCAUACGACCUACGGGUGAAAGCAGGGGAUCUUCGGACCUUGCGCGAUUGAAUGAGCCGAUGUCGGAUUAGCUAGUUGGCGGGGUAAAGGCCCAACAAGGCGACGAUCCGUAGCUGGUCUGAGAGGAUGAUCAGCCACACUGGAACUGAGACACGGUCCAGACUCCUACGGGAGGCAGCAGUGGGGAAUAUUGGACAAUGGGCGCAAGCCUGAUCCAGCCAUACCGCGUGGGUGAAGAAGGCCUUCGGGUUGUAAAGCCCUUUUGUUGGGAAAGAAAAGCAGCAGGUUAAUACCCCGCUGUUCUGACGGUACCCAAAGAAUAAGCACCGGCUAACUUCGUG
rnacentral:rRNA from 1 species